ACAACGUGGAUACCCUGGAAGGCCACUUUUCUCAGGCCUGGGCUCUGUGGGAGAGCACAGGGCCUCACCCCACAUACAUUUCCACAAUGUUGGAAAAGAAGCUGUGCUUCAAGUCUGUGCCUGCAUAAUUCUAUGACUUCUCAGGAUCCUGUGGAGGAUGACUGAGGAGAAAAACCAUGCAGAAAACAAAA
ensembl:snoRNA SNORA73 Small nucleolar RNA SNORA73 family